rnacentral:antisense_RNA from 1 species
CUUCACCGAGCCCAACAGCAGGGGCCGACCCUCCGGCCGGUCCUGGCCAUAGGUGGCCAGCAGUGCCUGGGCUUC